AUGUAUUUCCGGCCGCCGCCCAAGGGCCCCGAGUGGGGCGGCGACGCGGAGGCCGGGCAGGCGGCGCGGCCGCUGUACCCGAUGAUGCUGGAGAGCCCGCAGCUGCGCUGGGCCUUCGUCCGCAAGGUGUACACCAUCCUCUCCAUCCAGAUGCUGCUCACCAUCGCCGUCGCCUCCGUCGUCGUCUUCGUGCGCCCCGUCGCGCUCUUCUUCGUCUCCUCCCCCGCCGGCUUCGGGCUCUACAUCUUCCUCAUCAUCCUCCCCUUCAUCGUGCUGUGUCCUCUGUACUACUACUACCAGCGGCACCCGGUGAACCUGCUGCUGCUGGCGCUCUUCACGGUGGCCAUCAGCUUCGCGGUGGGGCUCACCUGCGCCUUCACCAAGGGGGAGGUGAUCCUGGAGUCGGCGAUCCUGACGGCGGUGGUGGUGGUGAGCCUGACGGCGUACACGUUCUGGGCGGCGAGGCGCGGGCACGACUUCAGCUUCCUGGGCCCGUUCCUGUUCGCGGCGGUGAUGAUCCUCAUGGUGUUCGCGCUCAUCCAGGCCUUCUUCCCGCUGGGCCGCAUCUCGCUGAUGGUCUACGGCGGGCUGGCGGCGCUCGUCUUCUGCGGCUACAUCAUCUACGACACCGACAACCUCAUCAAGCGCUACUCCUACGACGAGUACGUCUGGGCCGCCGUCGCGCUCUACCUCGACGUCAUCAACCUCUUCCUCUCCCUGCUCACCCUCUUCAGGGCAUCCGAUUCCUGA
rnacentral:rRNA from 1 species